rnacentral:snRNA from 1 species
AUACUUAUCUGGCAGGGGAGAUUUUAUAAUCAAGAAAGUGAUUUUCCCAGGGUGAGGUUUAACGAUGACCCUUGGAAUGUGCUGACCUCUGCUAUUUCCCCAAACAUGGGAAAAUUGACUAUAGAAUUUGUGAUAGUGGAAGACUGUUUACACUCUCCCU